UACGUAUGUGGCGAGCAUUGUUCGGAAUUACUGGGCAUAAAGGGUUCGUAGGCGGAUUCGUCAGUUGGGUGUGAAAUCCCGGGGCUUACCCCCGGAACUGCAUUCAAUACUGCGAAUCUGGAGUCCUUCAGGGGUAAGUGGAAUUCCAUGUGUAGCGGUGAAAUGCGUAGAUAUAUGGGAGAACGCCAAUGGCGAAGGCAGCUUACUGGGGAGUGACUGACGCUGAGGAACGAAAGUUAGGGGAUCGAACGGG
rnacentral:rRNA from 1 species